UACAGAGGGGGCAAGCGUUGUCCGGAUUUAUUGGGCGUAAAGCGUGCGUAGGCGGCUGCGCAAGUCGGGUGUGAAACCCCGGGGCUCAACCCCGGAACUGCAUCCGAUACUGCGUGGCUAGAGGUAGGUAGGGGAGAUCGGAAUUCCUGGUGUAGCGGUGAAAUGCGCAGAUAUCAGGAGGAACACCGGUGGCGAAGGCGGAUCUCUGGGCCUUACCUGACGCUCAGGCACGAAAGCUAGGGGAGCGAACAGG
rnacentral:rRNA from 1 species